GCAUGCCUGUUCGAGCGUCAUUUCAACCCUCAAGCUCUGCUUGGUGUUGGGGCCCUACAGCUGAUGUAGGCCCUCAAAGGUAGUGGCGGACCCUCCCGGAGCCUCCUUUGCGUAGUAACUUUACGUCUCGCACUGGGAUCCGGAGGGACUCUUGCCGUAAAACCCCCAAUUCUCCAAAGGUUGACCUCGGAUCAGGUAGGAAUACCCGCUGAACUUAAGCAUAUCAAUAAGCGGAGGAAAAGAAACCAACAGGGAUUGCCUCAGUAACGGCGAGUGAAGCGGCAACAGCUCAAAUUUGAAAUCUNGNCCCUAGGCCCGAGUUGUAAUUUGCAGAGGAUGCUUUUGGUGCGGUGCCUUCCAAGUUCCCUAGAACGGGACGCCAGAGAGGGUGAGAGCCCCGUACAGUUGGACACCAAGCCUUUGUAAAGCUCCUUCGACGAGUCGAGUAGUUUGGGAAUGCUGCUCAAAAUGGGAGGUAUAUUUCUUCUAAAGCUAAAUACCGGCCAGAGACCGAUAGCGCACAAGUAGAGUGAUCGAAAGAUGAAAAGCACUUUGAAAAGAGGGUUAAACAGCACGUGAAAUUGUUAAAAGGGAAGCGCUUGUGACCAGACUUGCGUCCGGUGAAUCACCCAGCUCUCGCGGCUGGGGCACUUCGCCGGCUCAGGCCAGCAUCAGCUCGCUGUCGGGGACAAAAGCUUCAGGAACGUAGCUCUCUUCGGGGAGUGUUAUAGCCUGUUGCAUAAUACCUUCGGCGGGCUGAGGUACGCCGUCCGCAAGGAUGCUGGCAUAAUGGUCAUCAGCGACCCGUCUUGAAACACGGACCAAGGAGUCAACCUUAUGUGCGAGUGUUCGGGUGUCAAACCCCUACGCGUAAUGAAAGU
rnacentral:rRNA from 1 species